UCAGGACCCUGCAUUGCCACCUGCUGAUCUGCACAGCUGAGGAUGCACCACGCUCCCCUGCGUAAUUCACACCCUUAGGAGCACCAGGGUCAAAGCAGAAGGAGCUGCGAGCUCUUGGCUUCAAGGAAGCAUCGAUUGAAAUCCCUGCAAGGCCAACUCACCCUCUGGUCACUCCAAAAUCAAAUCGCUUCAGCCCAUGUUCAGCCCGUGGCUGCAGAGCUGCUGGUACCUGGGGUACCCCUGUGCCCCCCCUGUGCCGUGGCUGCUGCCACCUGCCCUGGGCAGCUGCGUUGAAUUGAGUCUGGAAGUAUUUAGGGGAGGGGAAAAGUGCUACGGAAAGUAAUAUUUAAUUAGCCCCGAGAGGACCAUUAAUUGGCAGCCCUAAUUUGAAGUCUUGCCAGGGUCUGUUGUAUUCCUACCCACUUAGCAUAAAGUGGGUCUAGAAGCUAAUUUGUAGGUCACACUGAUUGGGUUGCCUGUGUAGGGCUGCUGAGGGGAGGGGGCUGUGGCUGGGAGGCUGGUACCAUAUGCCACCUACCCCAUCAGCUUCCCUUCCCUCUGAAAAUGGUGACAACGCCAGCACCCUGCUCCUGGCUUUGCUUUGGAAUCCCUGAGGUUCCUGGGUCAGUCCCAGCUGGGGGCUGCUGUCAGCCUGCAGCGAGGGCAGCGGUUCAUGGUCUUGUGCCAGCUCUCCCAGGGACUUGCUCCUGGACCACAGAGACCGCUGCAGAUUUAUUGCAUGACGGCAUCGGGGCGGCACGGAGACGUCAGCUGGGUGAGAGGGGCCGGCUGCAGCCCCGCUGUCUGCGAGUGGCCGUAAACCACUCCGAAACCCCAAAACAAACGGCAGACCUGCACCCCGUGCCGAGCAUCCCCUGGAGAUGGCUCUUCCUUAAAGGCACACAGCCUUUGGUGACACCGCUACCAUGGAACCGCAGGAAAGGAGAGCUGGAGGGGACUUUAAAAGGAUUCAUAUAAAUUGCUUUUCUGUUGCAAAAUUGCCAGCAAUUCCACUCAGCGUGAACCCGGCAGCGAGGCAUCCUGGGAUUCCUCCCUGCCUCCUCCCUCCAC
rnacentral:lncRNA from 1 species